rnacentral:rRNA from 1 species
CCUACGGGUGGCAGCAGUGAGGAAUAUUGGUCAAUGGACGCAAGCCUGAACCAGCCAUGCCGCGUGCAGGAAGACGGCUCUAUGAGUUGUAAACUGCUUUUGUACGGGGGUAAAUCGCGUUACGUGUAUCGGGUUGAAAGUAUCGUACGAAUAAGGAUCGGCUAACUCCGUGCCAGCAGCCGCGGUAAUACGGAGGAUUCGAGCGUUAUCCGGAUUUAUUGGGGUUAAAGGGUGCGUAGGCGGUACGAUAAGUUAGUGGUAAAAUCUUGGGGCUUAACCCCGGCACUGCCUCUGAUACUGUCGGGCUAGAGAAUAGAUGCGGUAGGCGGAAUGUAUGGAGUAGCGGUGAAAUGCAUAGAGAUCACACAGAACACCGAUAGCGAAGGCAGCUUACCAGACUGCGACUGACGCUGAGGCACGAGAGCGUGGGGAGCGAACAGGAUUAGAUACCCGAGUAGUC